rnacentral:rRNA from 1 species
UACGUAGGGGGCAAGCGUUGUCCGGAUUUAUUGGGCGUAAAGAGCGUGUAGGCGGCCUGACAGGUCUGCUGUGAAAACUCGAGGCUCAACCUCGAGAUGUCGGCGGAAACCGUCUGGCUAGAGUCCGGAAGAGGAGAGUGGAAUUCCUGGUGUAGCGGUGAAAUGCGCAGAUAAUCAGGAAGAACACCUAUGGCGAAGGCAGCGUCUCUGGGACGGUACUGACGCUGAGACGCGAAAGCGUGGGGAGCGAACAGGA